rnacentral:piRNA from 1 species
UCUAAAUCAGAAGGCUACACCUCAGGUGA